UAGGGAAUCUUCCGCAAUGGGCGAAAGCCUGACGGAGCAACGCCGCGUGAGUGAUGAAGGUCUUCGGAUCGUAAAACUCUGUUAUUAGGGAAGAACAUAUGUGUAAGUAACUGUGCACAUCUUGACGGUACCUAAUCAGAAAGCCACGGCUAACUACGUGCCAGCAGCCGCGGUAAUACGUAGGUGGCAAGCGUUAUCCGGAAUUAUUGGGCGUAAAGCGCGCGUAGGCGGUUUUUUAAGUCUGAUGUGAAAGCCCACGGCUCAACCGUGGAGGGUCAUUGGAAACUGGAAAGCUUGAGUGCAGAAAAAGAAAAAGGAGUAUUUUCCUGUGGCGGUGAAAUGCGCAGAGAUAUGGAGGAACACCAGUGGCGAAGGCGACUUUCUGGUCUGUAACUGACGCUGAUGUGCGAAAGCGUGGGGAUCAAACAGGAUUAGAUACCCUGGUAGUCCACGCCGUAAACGAUGAGUGCUAAGUGUUAGGGGGUUUCCGCCCCUUAGUGCUGCAGCUAACGCAUUAAGCACUCCGCCUGGGGAGUACGACCGCAAGGUU
rnacentral:rRNA from 1 species